GGUAGGGUUAGGAGUAGGGUUAGGGUUAGGAGUAGGGUACCUCUACCCCUAACCUAACCCUACUCCUAACUCUAACCCUACCCUAACCCUACU